rnacentral:rRNA from 1 species
GACGAACGCUGGCGGCGUGCUUAACACAUGCAAGUCGAACGGAAAGGCCCUGCUUGCAGGGUCCUCGAGUGGCGAACGGGUGAGUAACACGUGGGUGAUCUGCCCUGCACUUCGGGAUAAGCCUGGGAAACUGGGUCUAAUACCGGAUAGGAGCCAUUUUUAGUGUGAUGGUUGGAAAGUUUUUUCGGUGUAGGAUGAGCUCGCGGCCUAUCAGCUUGUUGGUGGGGUAAUGGCCUACCAAGGCGGCGACGGGUAGCCGGCCUGAGAGGGUGGACGGCCACAUUGGGACUGAGAUACGGCCCAGACUCCUACGGGAGGCAGCAGUGGGGAAUAUUGCACAAGGGGCGCAAGCCUGAUGCAGCGACGCCGCGUGGGGGAUGACGGCCUUCGGGUUGUAAACUCCUUUCGCUAGGGACGAAGCUUUUUGUGACGGUACCUAGAUAAGAAGCACCGGCUAACUACGUG